CGCAAGCCUCCUCUCUGGCGAGCUCUUUCCCCCGUGGCUCCUCGCCGCCGCCGCCACCACCCAUGCCCGCCGAUUCCGGCGAGUCCCGGCGGCGGGUGGCACAUCAACGACCUCCCCUGGCCCCGCUCCUUCCUCCCAUCCUUUCAGAUCAGUCGCUGGAGGCCUCCCGCGCUCUCUCCCGAUCCUCAGCCGUGGCUAGGGUUUCGGGUGCGGCGUCCCCUUCGUCGCCGGCGAGGCUCUGGCGCCUCGAGGCCUCCGGCGGCUCGUCUCCGUCGUGUUCCCAGCCCACCGCGUAAUGGACGGUCCUCCCGUGCCCGAUGGCCAUGAGGUGCACGCGAUUUGGUGUAGCAGCCGCCUGUCAACAUCGACGAGGAGGGCGUUCGGGACCCAAGCGCAAGCCGACGAGCCUGGAUGCUACCAACAAGCAGCCGACCAUGCCGAUGCGAUACAUCCGGUGCUGCCUGGCAGCCAGCCCCACAUCUCCACCCAGGGAAAAUGCUGCAGCUAAUGGAUGUUUAGUGAGGCUAUGUUCUGAUUUGACAAAGCUGAAGGAAGCACAUGCCACAAAUUUCUCGCAGUCAUUAUUCUAUCUCUGCGAUUGCUUCUUUGGAUGAGGAACAGGCGGAUACUUUGUGCAGAAAGGGAACUGCCUUCUUGGUUUAAUCAAUUGAGAUUAGCUUCUUCUAAUGUUAACUACUUAAUGGAGCUUUUGUUGCUGAGUGUUAUUUACGGGACAAGUACGUGUCAUGAACUAACUUCAGAUUUUUGGUUUAUAAGUGUCGAGCAUAACUAUCCAUGGUGGUAUAUAUACAAUUGACAGACUUGUAUUAGGCUUCAGAAUUGAAUGCAAUGAAACUGAUUAAGGCUGCAGGCAGGAUAUGGAACACCAUGACUUCAAUUUACAGGAUCUGAAAUAGCUUGGUCAGCUUUCUUCCCACAUCAUAUCAGAUUCUGUAUGGAGUCAUCUUGGCACAGUUAUGUUCAUCAUAGUAGUAAACGGCAAAAGAGAAAUGCUCAUGUCUCGGUCCAUCUAAAUUUCAGAGAACUCACUGUUCGACCUCGCUGGCACCGCCUUAGAUGGGCUUGCUGCUAUUUUAGUCUGGUCAUAUGCAGAUUUGUUAUCUUCAAGCAAAGCUAAAUAGUGAAGAGGAUGAGCAUCCAGAGUAUAUCAUCCGCGGAACACCUGGCAGGAUCCAGCACUGUGGAGAGCUUGAUGAUCACUGUUACUGGGGUAAUGAGGUUAAGUUAUAUCAAUGGCACGUAGGCGCUCUCUUUGCUAUGUUCUUGCGCAAAAAGCCAGGCAUCAACUACUAUGUGUGCACAAUCAAUAAAACAUUUGCCAAGCUAGGCCAGCGCAUGAACCUGCUGGACUACAUUGAUCCACAUAAUGAUACACUCAUGGUCAAGCUUGCAAAUGGGUGUCUGCUUGCCAGAUGUCGCAUCAUGCUAGAAACUGACAAGAGGACAACCAUAACCACCGUCUGGUCCGAGUUUCGUCGCCGCGCCAACAUUCGCGAAGGAGAUGUUUGCGUUGCUAUUUGAUCCUUUUGAGGGUAUGAUGUCUACUACGCAACCUUCUUUUUGUAGAUGUUGUUGGGCUUCCAAGUGCAGAGGUUUGUAGGACAGUAGCAAAUUUUCCUCAAGUGGAUGACCUAAGGUUUAUAAAUCCGUCGGAGGCGUAGGAUGAA